CAGGGCAAUUUUUAGGUCUAUCAAUAAACUAAGACGUUUCAGCCUUUAUGUGAUAUAUGGCUACGUUCCUAUAGCCAUUUCUAUUUAUUUCCUAACCGUGUAUUAUAGUUCUGUCACUUUUGGCUACGUUCCUAUAGCCGUUUCUUGAACUUCUGGCUAUGUUCAUCUAGCCUUUUUUAUGCAUGGUGUUCUAGAGUUGAGGUGAGCUGUAAUUGUUAGUAUUACUACUAAUAUGUUUUGUUUACAGGAAAAUUGCUUACCAAGUGGAUCAUGGGACAUGGACUGAAAAGACUGGAUAUGAUUUUCCAGCUUUGCCACGUCAGACAAGAGGGAAUGAUUGUGGUGUUUUUGUACUCUUGGUAAGAUAUAAAUUAAGUUAAUUGAUUUAAAGAUUUUGUAAACAUUGUAAAUGACUGUGGCUUCUCUCUUUUCAGUACACCCUCUCAAUGGUGUGUGGCAUUGGGUUUCAAUUCCAGGAGAUGGAUAUGCCUAUCAUCCGUCAGUGGUGGUGCCUUCUACUCAUGGAACGAUUUCAAAUUGAUGGGAUAUACUCGGUGGGAAAAGGUCAAAUUGGUUUCCACUAAAACCCCGUUCUCAAGUGCCUGUCUACAUUGAGAAUGAGCAGUCCCAGUCAAUCAUUUGUGACUACAUCAGAGGAAUUCUUAAUAAAACCAAAACACAGCUGACCUUCAAUGAUGAGGUGGAGUUCAUUUGUGGAUGUCUCCUCCCAGAGGCCAUAACUCAUGGCAUUUCCGAGUUACAAGGCUUGUCUUGGCAGGAGGCUGAAGAUGUCUUCCUCCAGGGCCCCAUUUAUCACGCAAGUGAAGUUGAGGAAUUUAACAGAAGAAUUGCUCGAGAAAUGAAAAAUCUCCCCAACAAGAAUCUCGAUGACUUGUAGGACCUCAUGAAAAUUUAUAAAAAAAUAAAGUUUGGUGUGAGAAAAUUACUCCGAGUACUAUCAUUUAUUCUGUGAAUAAUAAGAUAAUGUUCAUUCCCUCAACUCAAUACUAAAGAGUUUGAUAAAUCCUUAAUGAUUUAAAAACAAAAAACAACAACAAAAACAAUAAAUGACUGAAAAUAU